rnacentral:ribozyme from 1 species
UUUUUUCUUUCUUUUUCUUUUCUUUUCUCUUCUUUUUGUUAUCCCCUUCACUCUGUUUGGGAGGGAGGGGCAGUAGAAGAAGAGGAAGAAGAGGAAGAAGAAGAAGAUUGCAUGAUAUUCUUAUUACAACC